CAAAAUUUUAUCCGACCCGUCUCACGAUUUACAUUCUUGUUUUAAAUUUUUACCAUCUGGACGUAGAUUCUUCGUACCUAAAGUUCGCACAAAAAGGUCCCAAACAUCUUUUAUACCUGUUAGCAUUAGACUUUUAAAUGAAUGUUAGACCCAGCCAAAAUUUUAAAUGCACUGACUACUAGUCUCUUACAGUAUACACUGGUUAUCCUUCUCAUCCUGUUUAUCUGUGUGUUUAAGGUGAUCGUUGUCCUUUGCUUAAUUUGUUUUAACCAUGCUGUAUGCCUCACUGUUGUAAAAGGAAUUCCUUUGUCGGGCAAUAAAGUAUUAUUAUUAUUACAACUAACCAUCUGAGAUC